rnacentral:rRNA from 1 species
AGUCGAACGCGUCUCCGUUAAUGAUUUUAGGUGCUUGCACUUGAAAGAUUUAACAUUGAGACGAGUGGCGAACUGGUGAGUAACACGUGGGUAACCUGCCCUUGAAGUAGGGGAUAACACUUGGAAACAGGUGCUAAUACCGUAUAACAACCAAAACCACCUGGUUUUGGUUUAAAAGACGGCUUCGGCUGUCACUUUAGGAUGGACCCGCGGCGUAUUAGCUUGUUGGUAAGGUAACGGCCUACCAAGGCGAUGAUACGUAGCCGACCUGAGAGGGUAAUCGGCCACAUUGGGACUGAGACACGGCCCAAACUCCUACGGGAGGCAGCAGUAGGGAAUCUUCCACAAUGGACGAAAGUCUGAUGGAGCAACGCCGCGUGAGUGAUGAAGGGUUUCGGCUCGUAAAACUCUGUUGUUGGAGAAGAACAGGUGUCAGAGUAACUGUUGACAUCUUGACGGUAUCCAACCAGAAAGCCACGGCUAACUACGUGCCAGCAGCCGCGGUAAUACGUAGGUGGCAAGCGUUGUCCGGAUUUAUUGGGCGUAAAGCGAGCGCAGGCGGUUUUUUAGGUCUGAUGUGAAAGCCUUCGGCUUAACCGGAGAAGUGCAUCGGAAACCGGGAGACUUGAGUGCAGAAGAGGACAGUGGAACUCCAUGUGUAGCGGUGAAAUGCGUAGAUAUAUGGAAGAACACCAGUGGCGAAGGCGGCUGUCUGG